AAGCGGAGUGCGUUAAGGGUGCGCAUGCGGACCAAGCGGGUGAAACUCACACUGAGCGGGGGCGAAUGUCGCACAUGCGCACUAAAAAUAUAUAAGCGGAGCGAACAAACACCCGCCAAAAACGAAUGUUUUUAACAACACGGAAAAGUAAAUAAACAUGAAUUGUGCCGCGAAUAACAGUAAAUGUACAAGCAACUUAAAACAUGAUACAAAAUAAAAAUCAACAAUGUUCAAUUGGCAACAGACAAAGUUGCGAAACAGGUCGCUGUAAUCGACCAUGCGCGGUCUUAACCGUUACGACGCGGAUGACACCAUCUCGCCCAGGAAAACAUUCCUCAACGCCGCCAAACUUCCAUGUCAAGGGCGGAAAACAUUCAUUUCGAAUGAUUACAAGUGUUCCAGGUGAGAUAUUGUUGUACGUUUUAUUCCAUUUUGCCCUUUGCUGGAUGGUAUGAAGAUACUCUUGACUCCACCUCAUCCAGAAAUGCUGGACCAUUUUUUGAAGCAAUUCCCAGCGCGACAAUCGGUUGGACGGCGUAUCCUGGAAAUCUGUACAGGGAAUUUCAGUAUUUAGCGGUGAUAAUACGAGGAAAUGGCCGGGAGUGAGAGCUUGACAGUCAUUCGGAUCCGAACUGAGAGGACAAAGCGGACGAGAAUUGAGGACAGAUUCUAUUUGGCCUCCGUCAAACCAUUAAAAUUAAGUGCAGCCGGAGGGUUGAACAGCCACUCAAUACCAAGUCGUCCACCCGCCUGUUGUGCAAUCUGUAACAUUUGAUUGUAGGCGCCUACGAAAUUAGUUCCCCUGUCGGAAAAUAUUCUGAUACAUCUUCCUCGACGUGCCACGAAGCGCCUCAAUGCAGCCAAAAAUGCAUCGGAAGACAAAUCAGUCACCAAUUCCAAGUGCACCGCCUUUGUGACGGCACAAACGAAGAUGCAUAGGUAGGAUUUAAAGGCUUUGGCUCCUCGAUGUUUCCGUACUGUGGUUGUGAAAGGUCCAGCGAAAUCAAUGCCCACCGUAGUAAAUGCCUUCAUCUGAUUCACUCGAAAAGCUGGCAAAUCGGCCAUAAUUGGUGUAUAGGAUUUUGGAUUGUUUCUAAAGCAAUUAAUACAUCGCGAUAAUACUUUAUAAAUUGUGUUUCUGGGCGAUAAAAUCCAAAAUUGGUUGGCAAUAAUGGCUGAUAGUGUACGAAACCCUGGAUGUAAAUGUUGACGAUGCAAUUCUUCGACGAUCAAUUCACUCAAUCGAUGCUUGCCGGGUAAAAGAAUUGGAUGUUUAGUGUCGAAGCCGAGUUCCGAGUUCCGAAGACGUCCACCCACUCUUAGCAAUUUCUCCCGGCUUAUGAAAGUUCAGAAAAGUACUCCUUUUGGACUUCACGUGCGAUUGUGUGUAAAGCCUGUUGCUU